UAGGGAAUAUUGGGCAAUGGAGGGAACUCUGACCCAGCCAUGCCGCGUGCAGGAUGAAGGCGUUAUGCGUUGUAAACUGCUUUUAUAUAGGAAGAAAUAGUCCUUGCGAGGAAAGUUGACGGUACUAUAUGAAUAAGCACCGGCUAACUCCGUGCCAGCAGCCGCGGUAAUACGGAGGGUGCAAGCGUUGUCCGGAUUUAUUGGGUUUAAAGGGUGCGUAGGCGGUUUAUUAAGUCAGUGGUGAAAGACGGUCGCUCAACGAUUGCAGUGCCAUUGAUACUGGUAGACUUGAGUAUGAUUGAGGUAGCUGGAAUGGAUAGUGUAGCGGUGAAAUGCAUAGAUAUUAUCCAGAACACCAAUUGCGUAGGCAAGUUACUAAGUCAUAACUGACGCUGAGGCACGAAAGUGUGGGUAUCAAACAGG
rnacentral:rRNA from 1 species